CCUACGGGAGGCAGCAGUAGGGAAUCUUUCACAAUGGGCGAAAGCCUGAUGGAGCAACGCCGCGUGCAGGAUGAAGGCCUUCGGGUUGUAAACUGCUUUUAUAAGCGAGAAAUAUGAUGGUAACUUAUGAAUAAGGAUCGGCUAACUACGUGCCAGCAGCCGCGGUCAUACGUAGGAUCCGAGCAUUAUCCGGAGUGACUGGGUGUAAAGAGUUGCGUAGGUGGCAUAAUAAGUAGCUAGUGAAAUCUGGUGGCUCAACCAUUCAGACUAUUAGCUAAACUGUUAAGCUUGAGACCGUUAGGGGUAACUGGAAUUUCUAGUGUAGGAGUGAAAUCCGUAGAUAUUAGAAGGAACACCAAUAGCGUAGGCAGGUUGCUGGGACGGUUCUGACACUAAGGCACGAAAGCGUAGGGAGCAAACGGGAUUAGAUACCCUAGAGUA
rnacentral:rRNA from 1 species